CACAGUUAUGCAGCGAUAGAGAGACGACAUACAUCGUGUGCAUGUUCUCGGCAGCUGAGUUGAGCUGAACAUUCUGUGUUGGUCACUUGGGUUAAAACAACCGAUCGACCAUGUUUGGGAUGAACGUGCUUGCGUUUUGUGUGCUCCUGUGUGCUACCAGCUGCUCAGCUGAAAACACUGUAAGAUCAACAAAAAGGACUCUUCAACCUUGGUUGAUUGGUGUGUCAGCUGCCGUUGGCUUCCUGGUCAUUGUCUUUAUUCUCCUGAUUGGAAAAAAACUACUAAGUAUAAAAAGGGAAACAGAGGAGAAACGAGGCUAUGAAUUGACCCAAAAGCUGGACCUGGACGUCUAUGAAACCAAUCUGUAGAAACUCAUCUGCUUUUUAGAAAACUACUGUGCCCACGCAGUGACCAGUCCAAUAGUGAUGCACAUUUUCAACAGAGAAAAUGGCUGAAUUUAAUUUACACUAUCAUCCUAUGUAAUGAGGACUCCUUUUCUAAGUCAUCUUUUUUUACAAGUUAUAAAAUCUGGCUAAAACAGAAAGACUUUAUAGACAGUGUAUAUAGUACAGUAACAUCACAAAUGUUCCUCUUCAGGUUCACAAUUAUGUGAAGUCACCAAGAAUGUAAACAAAUAUAUUAAAAAUAUAAGUACAAUGUGGAGUUGGGUUGACAUGAUAUUUUUAACUAACCUUUGAUUGCUUGCACUGCUAUUUUCUCUGAGAAAAAAGUGUUGCCAUUUGGAAAUAUUUUCAUUUUGAAAAUGACGAGUUGAAAAAGUUGAAUUCUUAGAGGUAGGGUCAAAAUGAUCUAUACUCCUUGUAGGUUUAGGUAGGCAUCUAAAGACUGAAUGUGAUACUAAUGUGUUGAUUGAUCUAGCCAGAGUCCCCACUUAUCUAUGAUAAUGAAGUUUUGGAAGGAGCUAAAUUUAAUGGCAAGGAGACGUUCUAACCUCAAUGACUUGGACCUUAUUAAAAAGACGAAUGGUUAAAAAUGCAAAAAGGCUGCAUCUAAGUACAAAUGUUAGUUUGUUGCAACGCAAAGCAAGACUGGAGAAGGAUAUAAAUAAUUUUCAACCUGUCAUUUUUGUUCAAAUGUAAAUAAAAACAGACUUUCCAAAAAUAA